rnacentral:rRNA from 1 species
UUUAACUGGGGCGGUUCCCUCCUAAAGAGUAACGGAGGGGCGCAAAGGUCAGCUUAGUCCGGAUGGAAAUCGGACUAUAAGUGCAUACGCAUAAGCUGGCUUAACUGUGAGAAUGACUAUUCAAACAGAUGCGAAAGCAGGUGUUAGUGAUCCCCUGACUCGCUGUGAUUGCGGUCAGGGCUUAACGGAUAAAAGCUACCUCGGGGAUAACAGGCUAGUCGCGUCCGAGAGUUCAUAUCGACGACGCGGUUCGGCACCUUAAUACAUUGGGGCGCCAUGAGAGUAAUCUCACGCUUGUAAUCCAUUUUUUUAAUUUGGGUCUUUUUGAAAUUUUUUUCCUAGCUCAUAACGGUGGACUCCUUUUAGCAAUAAAAGGACAAUACCGUGGGAAUCCCGCUCCGCGGGACCCGUAACGACUUUUUAACACUACACGUAGUGUUAAAAGACUUGAUAAUUUAUUAUCAGGUAAUAAGGCUAGCUCCCACUACUUAAAGUGGGGUGAAGGUAUAGUCUAAACUUUCAAGUAAUUGAAAGAAUUUUUUGCGAUGUCGGCUCACCGUAUCCUGGGACUGAAGUAGGCCCCAAGGGUUGGACUGUUCGUCCAUUAAAACGGUACGCGAGCUGGGUUCAGAACGUCGUGAGACAGUUCGGACUCUAUCCUGUGCAAGCGAUUGAACUUUUGAGGAGACUCUUCCACAGUACGAGAGGACCUGGAAGAGGAAAUCACUGGUCUACCGGUUGGCCCACAAGGUCAUCGCCGGGUAGCUACAUUUCCAAACGAUAAACACUGAAUGCAUCUCAAGUGUUAAGCGAACUCCAAGAUUAGAAGUUCCCAUUAGCUUCCCCGCAGAAUACGGGGUUGAUAGGACUUAGAUGUAAGGCCCGCAAGGGUUUUAGUCGAGAGUUACUAAGUAGCGAC